rnacentral:rRNA from 1 species
UACGUAGGGGGCAAGCGUUGUCCGGAUUUAUUGGGCGUAAAGCGCGUGUAGGCGGCCACGCAGGUCCGCUGUGAAAACUCGAGGCUCAACCUCGAGACGCCGGUGGAAACUGCAAAGCUAGAGUCCGGAAGAGGAGAGUGGAAUUCCUGGUGUAGCGGUGAAAUGCGCAGAUAUCAGGAAGAACACCCGUGGCGAAGGCGGCUCUCUGGGACGGUACUGACGCUGAGACGCGAAAGCGUGGGGAGCGAACAGG